CGGGUGCCUGCACUAAGUUCUGCAUCAAUAUGGUGACCUCCUGGGAGUGGAGGGCCAUCAAGUUGCCUAAGGAUGGCUGAACUGGCCCAGGUCAGAAAGGGAGCAGGUCAGAACUCCCGCACCAACCGGUAGUGGGACUACGCCUG
rnacentral:sRNA from 1 species